GUAGGUGAACCUGCGGAAGGAUCAUUAUUGAAAUAAACUGACAGGUUGUUGCUGGUUCUCUAGGGAACAUGUGCACGCCUUGUCAUCUUUAUAUCUCCACCUGUGCACCUUUUGUAGACCUGGAUAUCUCUCUGAGUGCUUGCACUCAGGUUUGAGGAUUGAUUUUUGUCUCUCCUUACAUUUCCAGGCCUAUGUUUCUUCAUAUACCCUAAUGUAUGUUAUAGAAUGUAAUAAAAAGGCCUUUGUGCCUAUAAACCUAUACAACUUUCAGCAACGGAUCUCUUGGCUCUC
rnacentral:misc_RNA from 1 species